GGAUUUGUCCCGGACUAGCGAGAUGGCAAGGCUGAGGACGGGAGGCUGAUUGAGAGGCGAAGCUGGCAAGGUCACCAAGUCUGCCCAGAAAGCUCAGAAGGCUAAAUGAAUAUUAUCCCUAAUACCUGCCACCCCACUCUUAAUCAGUGGUGGAAGAACGGUCUCAGAACUGUUUGUUUCAAUUGGCCAUUUAAGUUUAGUAGUAAAAGACUGGUUAAUGAUAACAAUGCAUCGUAAAACCUUCAGAAGGAAAGGAGAAUGUUUUGUGGACCACUUUGGUUUUCUUUUUUGCGUGUGGCAGUUUUAAGUUAUUAGUUUUUAAAAUCAGUACUUUUUAAUGGAAACAACUUGACCAAAAAUUUGUCACAGAAUUUUGAGACCCAUUAAAAAAGUUAAAUGAGAAACCUGUGUGUUCCUUUGGUCAACACCGAGACAUUUAGGUGAAAGACAUCUAAUUCUGGUUUUACGAAUCUGGAAACUUCUUGAAAAUGUAAUUCUUGAGUUAACACUUCUGGGUGGAGAAUAGGGUUGUUUUCCCCCCACAUAAUUGGAAGGGGAAGGAAUAUCAUUUAAAGCUAUGGGAGGGUUGCUUUGAUUACAACACUGGAGAGAAAUGCAGCAUGUUGCUGAUUGCCUGUCACUAAAACAGGCCAAAAACUGAGUCCUUGUGUUGCAUAGAAAGCUUCAUGUUGCUAAACCAAUGUUAAGUGAAUCUUUGGAAACAAAAUGUUUCCAAAUUACUGGGAUGUGCAUGUUGAAACGUGGGUUAAAAUGACUGGGCAGUGAAAGUUGACUAUUUGCCAUGACAUAAGAAAUAAGUGUAGUGGCUAGUGUACACCCUAUGAGUGGAAGGGUCCAUUUUGAAGUCAGUGGAGUAAGCUUUAUGCCAGUUUGAUGGUUUCACAAGUUCUAUUGAGUGCUAUUCAGAAUAGGAACAAGGUUCUAAUAGAAAAAGAUGGCAAUUUGAAGUAGCUAUAAAAUUAGACUAAUCUACAUUGCUUUUCUCCUGCAGAGUCUAAUACCUUUUAUGCUUUGAUAAUUAGCAGUUUGUCUACUUGGUCACUAGGAAUGAAACUACAUGGUAAUAGGCUUAACAGGUGUAAUAGCCCACUUACUCCUGAAUCUUUAAGCAUUUGUGCAUUUGAAAAAUGCUUUUCGCGAUCUUCCUGCUGGGAUUACAGGCAUGAGCCACUGUGCCUGACCUCCCAUAUGUAAAAGUGUCUAAAGGUUUUUUUUUGGUUAUAAAAGGAAAAUUUUUGCUUAAGUUUGAAGGAUAGGUAAAAUUAAAGGACAUGCUUUCUGUUUGUGUGAUGGUUUUUAAAAAUUUUUUUUAAGAUGGAGUUCUUGUUGCCCAGGCUAGAAUGCAAUGGCAAAAUCUCACUGCAAUCUCCUCCUCCUGGGUUCAAGCAAUUCUCCUACUUCAGCCUCCCAAGUAGCUGGGAUUACAGGCAUGUGCUAAUUUGGUGUUUUUAAUAGAGAUGAGGUUUUUCCAUGUUGGUCAGGCUGGUCUCAAACUCCUGACCUUAGGUGAUCGCCUCGGCCUCCUAAAGUGCUGGAAUUACAGGCAUGAGCCACCAUGCCUGGCCAGGACAUGUGUUCUUAAGGACAUGCUAAGCAGGAGUUAAAGCAGCCCAAGAGAUAAGGCCUCUUAAAGUGACUGGCAAUGUGUAUUGCUCAAGAUUCAAAGGUACUUGAAUUGGCCAUAGACAAGUCUGUAAUGAAGUGUUAUCGUUUUCCCUCAUCUGAGUCUGAAUUAGAUAAAAUGCCUUCCCAUCAGCCAGUGCUCUGAGGUAUCAAGUCUAAAUUGAACUAGAGAUUUUUGUCCUUAGUUUCUUUGCUAUCUAAUGUUUACACAAGUAAAUAGUCUAAGAUUUGCUGGAUGACAGAAAAAACAGGUAAGGCCUUUAAUAGAUGGCCAAUAGAUGCCCUGAUAAUGAAAGUUGACACCUGUAAGAUUUACCAGUAGAGAAUUCUUGACAUGCAAGGAAGCAAGAUUUAACUGAAAAAUUGUUCCCACUGGAAGCAGGAAUGAGUCAGUUUACUUGCAUAUACUGAGAUUGAGAUUAACUUCCUGUGAAACCCAGUGUCUUAGACAACUGUGGCUUGAGCACCACCUGCUGGUAUUCAUUACAAACUUGCUCACUACAAUAAAUGAAUUUUAAGCUUU
rnacentral:lncRNA from 1 species